rnacentral:lncRNA from 1 species
UGUUGGUCAAGAUUUCUAGAAAACCCCGAAAUCUGGGCUAGCCGGCUUGUCCUAAAAAGCGACCAUAUUAGAGUCAUUAUCUCUUUACCACAGAUGUAUUGAAUUUGUCAGUCUCACUCCUCCUAGAAACAUCGUAUUUGUCCACAUUGAGUUCAAGAUAUAAUAUAUUGGACUGUAAAAAUUCCAGACUCAUUUCAUUUUUUGGGGGGGGGGGGAUGUUCGAAGUUCAAGUCAAUCUGAGUAGUCUUUUCCAAACUGGAGUUUGAGUUAUCAGCCUGCGUCCUCGAGAAAUGUUUGACAGUCUUUGGAGAGAGAGGAUUCUUUCCUGUUAUCAAAUGUGUGUGGAGUUUUGUUAAUAUGGAUGGUCAAUAAGUUCUUAACCCCAGUUACCAACUGGUGGGACAGCUAUUACAGCUCUGUAAUCAGUAAGAUAAUUAUAUAAUGUCAUGUGCCCUCCCCAGACUAGAAUACAUGCAUGGACUGUUCAGCGUAAAACUCUUGUCACACAUGACUUUUCAAAACGGUGUAUGGCGGUGUCUUACUCUGAGCAGUCAAUAUACGGUAUAGCACGCAAACGUCGAACUCAGAAAACUCAAAAUCAGGCAUCCGUCGAACUGUGCCUGUUGUCCCAUUUUUUUCUUCUUCUUUAUCUUUGUAAGACAUCCAUCCCUCAAACUACGGAUCCCUCAAACUACCGAGGCCAGUCCAGACGAAAUCGAGCUAUCCAAGUUAUUCUGUAUAUCCUUUUUAGAAAUAGUACUUUGCCACUGUGGUAUUUGAGAGAACUCAUGUUAGCACCUAGAACCUAAAAAAAAUAAUCAUCAUACUUAUUGUAGCAGAGCCUCCAUUACGUCAGCUGUAACCAUCAAGAAUGUAUUAUACACUACAGCAGUCCUGAAAAAUGUUUGAAAUGACAAUGUACGAUCCAUCUCUUUCUGAGGACUUUCCAGCGCAUCCCAGUGAUGUGACUAAGUUGUCAUGUGGUAUGAAGAAUCAAACUGACUCCGACCAAAGCUAGGCAGAUCAAACGAGGUUUUCGAUGAGGUCAUAGCUGUCUGAAGAUUGAAAAUAUACUAAAGUUACAGCACUAACCCUUGCCAGCAGACAACAGGAGUGUCAGAUUACAUGAGGGAAAGUGUGAAUUUUCUCGAUUUUUACUGCUUUAUUUAUUCAUAAAGGUCCCUUUCAAACAUUUGCACUUGGGCUGAUUUACUAGGCGUGCAUUUCUUGAUCAGCUUACAUUUUCAGGAGGAAUCUUUUUUUUCUUCUUCAAAUUCGGGAUGUCUAGAAAUGCCCUACAUUCUGGAAGUAUUUUUCUUGCACAUUUUCUACGAAUUCUGUCAUACACAAUCAUGUUAGCAUUUCUUUUUUUUGUUUCUAAUCCAGUACAUUUGGAAAUAUUUUUUCAUUUGUGAAGAGGGAAGCAAGAAUGCUGUGCAGAUAAUUUAAAAUAGGCCUGAAACUAGCCCAAGGUAAUAAGUUUGACAGAAUUAAUCGUAAGAUUUAAAUGGUAUGAAAGAAAGUGAGAUAUACAACAAAAAAAAGCUGUGUUUGUAAAAGAUGAUUGGAAUGUGGACAAGUAGAAAUCAGAGGGGGCAACAGGGAGGUGUGAGAAUAAAGAGGACGUGUGAAGGUUCCCGCUACCAAGUGUCCGCAGUGCAAGAGAGUGGUGCUUCUUUUUCGUAGUUGUGUUUGGUUAAUAUAAUUGUGAAUGAGGUGAUGUGUUUUAUGAAUAUUUUUACCACACUGUUCCGGUUCCAGUAGCUCAGAAGGAGAAUACAAAGAGACCCACCCACAUAGUGAACUGCUGGUACCCACCAAGUAGGCAUAAAUAAUUUGUGCAUAUAUUAUAUGAGGAGUCCACUUAAAAAAUGGGCAUAGUCACAAACUGGAAAUUGUGUGGGUGUCAAUUUUGGGCAUAGUCACUAACUGAAAAUUGUGUGGGUGUCAAUUUUGGGCAUAGUCACUAACUGAAAAUUGUGUGGGUGUCAAUUUUGGGCAUAGUCACUAACUGAAAAUUGUGUGGGUGUCAAUUUUAAAAGCUUGUGGACUCAUAUCUUCAUAUUUGUUUGAUUGGUGGUUUAUUUCAUAUGUUUGUUGGACGGGAAAUCUAACAACAUUUGUCAACCAACAGCCGAACAGAAAUACUGUUAUGAGUCAACAAGUGUUUAAAUUGAUACCAACACGAUUUUCAGUUUGUGACUAUGGAUCCGUUUUUUCAGUGGACGCCUCAUAUGUAGACAGGAAAAUGUGGUGCUGUUCUGUACAUUGAAGAUAAAUUGUUUAAGGCAGAAAAUGUCUACGUCCACCGAUGUACAAGAAGUGACGUGAGCAUUCAAACAUGGAACUUUUGUUCUUGGGGAAAGGGUGUGGGAAGGUGAGAAUGGUGGUUGAGGUUGUUCUUGGGGAAAGGGUGUGGGAAGGUGAGAAUGGUGGUUGGAGGAUGUCCUGUAGGCUCAGCCGUUGAAGCCUCGCUGAUGGUAUAUUAUGGAUGUUAAGAGUUAUCAGUGUCAUAGCCAGGUUUCAUUGAUUGCAGUUAAAUGUAAAGAAUUUGAUAUUCGGCUGGAAGAAAAAACGGGAUUGUCGAGCGCUUGCACAUACAAAUCAUGAAUGUACUUGUAUUGAUUGAGUGAAAAUCUGACUUGUACAUUGAAUUACAGAGAUAAGAUUCACAAUGUAGAGUAAUGUUUUUUUCUUUCUGAAUAUACAUUUUUAAGGUCUUUUGCAUGUGCCUGAGCACUUUUGUUUGUGUAUUUAAGAUGAUCUAGGCAAUUGUGUAUAAGUCAUGUUUUCUCUGUGUGUGCAUUCACUUUUUACAUCUGUCUGUGUGUGAGUAUGUGCGAGUGUUUGUGUGUAUGUGUGUUCAAUCUCUGAAAUAUGCAAUAUUACAUGUACUCUUUGUAGAAGCAUUAUAUGCAAUGUGGAGGAGACCAUAUGAAGAAAGUGAGCUACAAAAAAGUGAUUGUGAAUGUCAUUAAAAUUAAUCAUUGGAAAGUAUGAAUUUAAACGAAAACAAAAAAACUGAGAACUUUAUUUAUCUCAGUAUUUCUGUGGGUAAAUCUUCAAUAGUUAGUUGGGUUUUUUUUCCCCCAUUUACAGUAAAUGAAUGCUUUUGAAAGAGUUUCUGUAAGUUUUCUUUGCUAUCAAACAGUCUUGCUUCUUCUUUUUGCUGAAUUUGGCCCUUUCAUCGAUCUGCUGCUUGGUACAAGAUGUACUACUUAUUACAACCAGAUUCAUGCUAUUAUCUUGAGAUUUCAAACGUUACCUACGAUCUGCUUUGUCUUCUCUAAAUUUUUUUAAUGGUAGCAAAAUGGUAACAGAGUAAUAGUGUUCUUUUUCUUCAUCUUCUCAGAAUCUGUCUUUCUCAUUUAAGUCUUAGAAGAAAUGGAACCCUCAUUUUCAAAACUGAUCACACUACGAAACACAUAAUUAUUUAUCUCUAUUGUUAAAAUCUUUAUUUAGUUCCCCCCAUCCCCACUGUUUUGGGAGGGUAUGUGUCUGAAUUACGUUUGUAAAAAAAAAGGGUACAGCUUACGAGUUUGACAUGACCUGAAAAUUUGAAAACUUUUACGAGGAUAGAAUAAAAACAUGCAAUACCACUGUAUGGUCAUUUUUAUGUUGUACUGGUACCAGUUCUCAAGAAUUGUCCAAAAUGACCGUUGUUCUUUUGAUCUAUGCUGCCUGUAAGUAUUAUUUCUAAACACUGAAUAGUUUUCCUUUACGAGUGAUGUCCUUGCUUGAUGAAUUGUUCGUGUUCGCUUCGUUGUGUGGGAACUUAUGCCUGUUGUGUUUGACGUUAAACUUGCAGAUGCGAUAACAGUAUUUUUAUAGCUUACAACAGUUUGUAGUGUACAUUACAAUAUCAUUUUGCUUUUGUAUUGUAACGAUGAAUAUGUUAUAUUAUUAUGGCUGCUGAUGUUUGUUUUGUUUACUUGAAAUGGACCCAUAGAUCUGAUCAUUUAUUCUUGUUUGUGAAUAGCUAUCAUGUUUAUAAACCCCUUUGCAAAAUGUCUAACCUUUGUGAAAGUAAUCGUAUGCUACAUACAUACAUACAUACAUUUAUUUAUGUCGUCUUUUGUUGUUGCGCAUGAGUUGUUUUUUUGUACGUCUGAAUGAAUGACAGAUGAAUGCUCUGUUGUUGUUGUUUGUUUUGUUUUUUCACUCAUAGAUAAUUGGGACAGUUUUUAACAGUUUGAAAUCCAGUUUGAAUGCAAUGAUCUGUUAAUGGAUCUUUUUGAUAAAUGUUUAUUCAAAGUUGUUUUUGUUAUAGGAACCAUGUAAGAAUAGAAUACCUAGAGCAUGCAUGCAGAGUCUUUGUUCUAGUGGGCAAAGUUUUGAAAUACAGUAGGCUACUUGGCCAAUGUUAUUCGGUACCAGUCAUUUUAUUCAAUUUAUAAGCUGUUGAAAUAGUAGGCUAAUAAUUAUUAUUGUACAGAAUAUUAUGGACUUGUGGGGUUUUUUUGUUAACGAGAAGCAAGUCGCACCUAGUGACAUAACACUGUGCUGCCAUAUGCUUACAUAACGCCUUUUUUUUCUUUUUUUUUUCUUUUUGGUGCCAAUUCUUUUAAUUUGCUAAAUCGAAAGACUAAUCAGGUAACCUACUUGUGUGAAUAAAUGAAAGUGAAACUGUGACUUGGUUUUGUAUAAAUUAGAAUUCAAAUUUCGGACGAACACCUUUUUUGAAUGGUUACGCUGACCCAAAAAAAGCCUCAUUAUCUUGAACUUGCUGUGAAUUAUUUUUAAAAGGCGUUUUGUCAGCUUACGGCAGUGUGGGUGUCCGACUACAGCCUAGAUUUAAAAUGUUGUUAUCGUGGAACAGAUUCCUAAUCUUUUACGAGUGAAACAGAAACAAAUUCUUCCUUCUUAUAGUCCUACAAUGAGUCAACAUCCUGCUAUUCUGAGUUGAGAGUGACAUAAACAAAGGGCUGUCACACAAGGUCAGGUCACAAAUUAUUGAUGAAGAUAUUGUUUGUCUUCGGGUAAUUGGUGUUGAAAUGAUUGCGCCCCCGUGCCCCCCCCCCCUUCCUUUCCCCAACAUCCACAUGUAGUCCUUCAUUGUAGAUAGAUGUACACAAAUAUGGUCUUACUCAUACCCCCCACCCCCCACCCCCCAUACCUCUACUCCCAUCAAACAUCAUUGCCCCUAUGAACCCCUACUCUUUUGUCGUCUUCGAGUUGCCAUUUUUACCUCUGUAUUAAAAGUUCAUUAUUAUUAACCACAUCUGUAAUAAUAAGAAAUUGGCUAUGCACAUUUCGUACACAUAUUUUAUUUGAGUGAUCAAUUCAUGUACUAUCAAUUAGAUCGACCCUUUAGAGCUGUUUACAUAGUGCGGAUGAGUGAGACAGAGUGAGCGUGUUUCUGUCAGGGUGUGUUCGGUUAGAAUCAGGCUGGAGUAUGAUGAUGUUGUGUGUUCUGUGUUCGGUUAGAAUCAGGCUGGAGUAUGAUGAUGUUGUGUGUUCUGUGUUCGGUUAGAAUCAGGCUGGAGUAUGAUGAUGUUGCGUGUUCAUACGACUGGGUCAUGUGCUUGGUUUGACUUGUUUUUUUUGAAAAUGUAAAAGAAUUGCGGACUCUCAUUUAGGCCACUUUAAGUUUAAUAUCCCCUUCAUGACACAGGGUCAGUUUGUGCUUCACUGGGCAGUUUUUGAUCCCCAUGGACACAAACAAAGUAGCGCUAGAUUUGGUGGUCACUUUCCUAUAUUUAGACCUGGUUUUCAAAUACUGCAUGCUGAGUGUGUCUAAAAGAAACAAUUUUCUUUUUAUGGAAAAAUUAUUCCUGAGUGCGAAUCUGAGAUUAAUUUUACAAAAUAUGUCUAAUAGAAACAGUAUGCAGAGUACAGCCUAUGACGAAGGGCGCUGGUCAUCAUGGUCCUUGUGUUGCGCAAGGCAUGAUGAACUCUGCAUGUCACAGCAACUUCUUGGCUCAUUCACUGCAUAAGAAAAAAUGACGAACGGCUUAAGUCAUAUUGGUCUCGAAGGGGUUAAGGGGCUUUGUGUUUUGCGUGGCUGCACUAACUUCUCUACUCCCUUAGAGUAGGAUCAAGACAUUGAUUAUAGUAUUGUAGUCAAUAUUUUAAUAUUUUACACCACCAUUGACACAAUUUAGACCAUUUAGAGGCAGACUGCCUCAACUCUGCCUGCCAGGGUAGCGCUAGAUAAGUAGGACAGAUGCGGUGAAUGAAUUGAAUAUAUCCCUGCAGGAAGAAGGAGAUUUUUCUGUAAAAUAUUAUCUUCCCCAUUUUAGAAUGGAACUUGCAUCUCUUGCUUGUGAGGUGAUGAAAAAGGGCCUAGGAACUACACUGCAGACACUGGUGCUGGUACAGAGUGCGACUCUCAUUUGUAGGUGUAAUUGUAGACUUGGAUUUACCGCGAUUUUUUGUUUUGUUUUGUAGAUACAGAUGUGUCUUCUUGAAUAUAGAAUGCGGAAUGUGAAAUGUGUGUGUCAGUGACAGGCUUCAAGAUGUAGUAAGUGUAAGUGUGUCAGAGGCUCCAUUUUAUGGCCACUGCCUCACGACGUAAUGUUGUGUAUUUGUGUCUGUGUGUAUUUUAUAUGCACUUUGACUCCACUACGACUAUGCAUGGUGUGUCCGUUGAAGUCGGUGUGUGUCUGUCCUGUUUUGGGUGUGUUUACAGAGUUAGGUGUGUAGCCGAUCCUGCUGUAAAACCAUCUUUGCCAUAUUAUUAUUAUCAUAAUGGAAGAGAACAUAAUACAUCAUUAAAGCAGGAACAUUAUGGUCAUAGUUUCCCGUAGAGAUACAAGGUGGUUUAAAAAAGCAACUGAUAUCAUGAUUUCCAUAAUGCAUGAAUAAUGGAUAUCUCCUAAAGCUGAAGCUGUAACAUUUGGCACUUGAUGCACGUUUUGUUCUAGUUUAGGAAGUGUUGAAAGUUUGAGGAAGGUAACAACAAUUUCCGUAGAGUUGCAAACCUGUAGAAUUUUUUUACUUUUCCCCGCAGCUUGUAAUAAUCUCAGAUAGGACAGUUAGAAACCAUAUAAAGAACUACAGUGAACGAAUGAAAGCGAGCGAAGGAGAGAGGGAGAGCAGGACGGAGGAAAAAUAGUGAUGGAGUGAGGAUGAAAAGCACAGAUGAAGAGAAGGAAACAAAAAGAGGAGAAAGGAACAAAAGUGAAGGAGGGAAGAAAAAAAGACUAAUGAGAGAGAGAGAGAGAGAGAGAGAGAGAGAGAGAGAGAGAGAGAGAGAGUAAAGGAAUGUUGUAAAAGAAAAGGAUGUUAAUCCUUUGAUCAAUUGUAUGACAAUCACUGCCAAAUAUAUAUGGAAGUUUCAUCAAGCCAUGGCCUCGCACAGAUUGCCAAAGGUUUUUUUUUUUAAUUUUGUAAUUGAACUGGCCACAAACGUAAUUACCGAUAUGCUCUCCACUUCUAGCCAGGCUGGACUGUAGAAUGUUAUGUCACAGCACGGGUCCUGUCAAGCGGGGAAUUUUUCUCAAAUCGCUUCCUCUUUCAUUUGCGGUACUAGUGUCUAAUGUGGACUUUCUUUAGGAUAUCAAUGCUCUAUUCGAAAUUUGCCUGAUUCGUUGAUAAAUUCAUCUGUUUUAUUUUCCCCGUCCAGUCUGAGCAUGACAUUUCUUGGUCAAAAACCUAGCUGCUUUAACUUCACAUUUCAAAUUUUGCCAAGAUGGAUCCUUUUUUAAAAGCCUCAGUGGCUCAGGUAACUUUCAUUUAUACAUGAUUUAUAUUAUUAAUAUUAUAAAUGUUUAAAAUAGGUACGAAAGCUUUCCCUGAAAAAAAACACCUGUUGUCUUAGAACACUUGCGUUGAUUACUGCACUUCACCGAUGUCAAUGAACUCUGCACCUGCCAGGACCCAUCUACUCAAUUCAAAAUUGUACAUUUAAUUGAUCUUUGAAAAGAUGAUUACCUAUUUACCCGGAAUCAUACCCUUUUUAUUAGGGUAUCGAGGUUACUCAUUGAAGAGAGAGCUGUGGAUUAAGAGGUUAAGCGAUGUGAGGAAAAGAGAAGUGUUUUGAGUCAAAGUAAAGUUACGUUUGAAAAGUCUAUUCUGUGCCAGACCAUAUUUGGCAGGAUGCCUAAAUAAAAAUAAAUAGGCUACAUGUAAAGUUUAUGAUAUAUAUAAUACAUUAUAUCGCUAGCAUUGCUCAUACUCAUUCUGUGAGUUGCAUAAGAGAAAGCAUUGUUUAGAACUGUCUUUAGAAAUGCUACAUCAGUUAAGUUAUUUAUAUAUAUUUUAUAUUGAUACAAUAUUAUUGUUUUGCCGGUCUUCCUAGCUUCACUUUUUGAUUUUGAUGUAAAAUAAGAUGCAUCUAAAGUUAUUAAUGAGCUUUCUGAAAACAGGAAGGCCUUCCAUCUGAAUGAAGGUAGAAAUAAAAUCAAAGUUUUUUUCCUGUAUUACGUUGUGUUACUCUAACUCUUAAAAAAACUUUUACAGUUACAUGCAGUAAAAAUGUUAAUUGUAUAAAUGUCAGAAACUCGGUUAUUGUUUCUUUUCUCUUCCAAGUCUCUCUCUUUUUUUUUCGACUUGAUCCGCAGUGGUGGAGAACAUAUCCUUAGUUACAGUUACACUCAUAUUAUGUUAGUACUGAAUCCUAAUUUAUUCAUUUUCACUUUGUGUGCAAGAGGAGAGAGAUGAGUGGGAUUUUUUUUUAUUCACGAUGCACAUGUGGGGCAUACUACUGCCCGUAUCCCUUUGCAGUCUACGAUUAUUAAAUGAAAUAGAACAAAUGAA